rnacentral:rRNA from 1 species
UACCAGCAGUUCAAGUGCAGCCGGUUUUAUUGGGUCUAAAACAUCCGUAGCUUGUUUCGUAAGUCUCUUGUGAAAUCUGACAUCUCAAGUGUUGGGCGUGCAAGAGAUACUGCGAGGCUAGAGACCGGGAGACGUAAGAAGUACGCUUAGGGUAGCGGUCAAAUGCGUUGAUCCUUAGUGGACUAACGAUAGCGAAGGCAUCUUACGAGAACGGAUCUGACAGUGAGGGAUGAAGGCUAGGGGCGCAAAACGGAUUAGAUACCCGCGUA